rnacentral:rRNA from 1 species
UACGUAGGGUGCGAGCGUUGUCCGGAAUUAUUGGGCGUAAAGAGCUCGUAGGCGGCUUGUUACGUCGUUCGUGAAAACUUGGGGCUCAACCCCAAGCUUGCGGUCGAUACGGGCAGGCUAGAGUUCGGUAGGGGAGACUGGAAUUCCUGGUGUAGCGGUGAAAUGCGCAGAUAUCGGGAAGAACACCCGUGGCGAAGGCGGUUCUCUGGGACGGUACUGACGCUGAGACGCGAAAGCGUGGGGAGCGAACAGG